CCGAUGAUCGCUCACUUGCACAGGUGGACGAUCAAUUGCUUUCAUUGACACGCGGUACCGCGGAAACAGCGAACAAGAGAAUCCA